rnacentral:rRNA from 1 species
UACGUAGGGGCUAGCGUUAUCCGGAAUUACUGGGCGUAAAGGGUGCGUAGGCGGUCUUUCAAGCCAGAAGUGAAAGGCUACGGCUCAACCGUAGUAAGCCUUUGAAACUGGGAAACUUGAGUGCAGAAGAGGGAAGUGGAAUUCCAUGUGUAGCGGUGAAAUGCGUAGAGAUAUGGAGGAACACCAGUGGCGAAGGCGGCUUCCUGGUCUGUAACUGACACUGAGGCGCGAAAGCGUGGGGAGCAAACAGGAUUAGAUACCCUGGUAGUCCCUGAG